rnacentral:rRNA from 1 species
GCAGGUGGUUUCUUAAGUCUGAUGUGAAAGCCCACGGCUCAACCGUGGAGGGUCAUUGGAAACUGGCAGACUUGAGUGCAGAAGAGGAAAGUGGAAUUCCAUGUGUAGCGGUGAAAUGCGUAGAGAUAUGGAGGAACACCAGUGGCGAAGGCGACUUUCUGGUCUGUAACUGACACUGAGGCGCGAAAGCGUGGGGAGCAAACAGGAUUAGAUACCCUGGUAGUCCACGCCGUAAACGAUGAGUGUUAAGUGUUAGAGGGUUUCCGCCCUUUAGUGCGGAAGUUAACGCAUUAAGCACUCCCCCUGGGGAGUACGGCCGCAAGGUUGAAAUUCAAAGGAAUUGACGGGGGCCCGCCCAAGCGGUGGAGCAUGUGGUUUAAUUGGAAGCAACGGGAAGACCCUUACCAGGUCUUGACAUCCUCUGAAAACCCUAGAGAUAGGGCUUCUCUUUCGGGAGCAGAGUGACAGGUGGUGCAUGGUUGUCGUCAGCUCGUGUCGUGAGAUGUUGGGUUAAGUCCCGCAACGAGCGCAACCCUUGAUUUUAGUUGCCAUCGUUAAGUUGGGCACUCUAAGGUGACUGCCGGUGAUAAACUGGAGGAAGGUGGGGAUGACGUCAAGUCAUCAUGCCCCUUAUGACCUGGGCUACACACGUGCUACAAUGGACGGUACAAAGAGCUGCAAGACCGCGAGGCGAGCUAAUCUCAUAAAAC